AGCUAUUACGAAGAUCCUGUGGAAGUCGCCGAAGAUUGUAUGUAUGGUCGCAGAAGAUGAGAGAUGCCGGGCACGUGGAUGCACAACCAGGACGUGUGCGAGAUAUCCGUGCUAUCUCUAGUCGUGUGCUCCACGCGCCUCGCUCAUAGCUGCUGUGCUGGCUGUUGGGGCAAUCGGUACAAUUGCACUCUGCCGACCAGGGGCUGCCGCAUGGUCAUCAGUGAGCGCGCAUGAGCAGUGCAGGUGGAUCUCAGACAUGGUAUUCCUCCAAGGGAAGCUCUAUGCUCUUGAAAACAUCACUACCUCUCAGGAUGUUGUUGCCAUAGACGACAUUGUGGAUGAGCAUGACAGCAAUGAGCCAAGGGUGUCUCGAAUUGAGCUCCUCAUUGAGGGAGUGUCCUGGCUACCCGAGCGAUAUUCUUUGCGUUGGCCCUACCUCCUUGAAUCCCAUGGCACACUGCUAAUGAUUUGCAGAAAAAUUUCUUACAAAACAGAGCCCACGUUUGGAAGAAGAGAUGGUGUCACUUUUGUGGCUGGUAGCAGCGAGUUUGAAGUGUUUGAGGCAGAUUUUGAGCAUCACUUGUGGACUGAGGUGAGGAAUUUGGGGAAUGACCAGGCGUUGUUCCUUGGGCCAAGGGUGCUCAAGGGCUGUCCGUGUGUCUCCAUAUGAUCUGUCACGGCAUUGUAUCUUCUUCCUGGAUGAUUACACUGGUUCGAUGUGGAAGAAAAUUACUACAUCUUGUGGUGUAUAUGACAUGAAAGACGGGAAGGUAUAUUCACCAUUGCCUAUGGUAUCAUGGAAGAGUGGAGACGUCCCAGCAACCUGGAUUUUCUCCAAGGGUGAUACGGAUAAGUUGAAAACACAGGUGAAGCAUUAGCAGGAAAUUGUGGGACCUGAAGAAAGGAUCCACUUGCACGUCUAUAUGCAGGGACUUGUUCUGCCGGUGCUUAUACUGUUCUGUACUGAGCAAAACUGCUAAAAAGGGUAAAGCAAAUCUUGGUACAGUCAUGCGUUCCUACUGAAGUGGCUAAUAUACGAUGUCUGGCAUGUGUCUGAUGCAUCCCUUUGACCUUUGUGGUGUUACUUGAGACAUGUCCAUUAAAAUAACAAUUGAAAGAUGCUCUCUACUUUUGGCAUUACUGUUGGAGAA